rnacentral:rRNA from 1 species
CCUACGGGAGGCUGCAGUGAGGAAUAUUGGUCAAUGGCCGGACGCCUGAACCAGCCAUGCCGCGUGAAGGUCAGUGCCCUAUGGGCUUUAAACUUCUUUUAUGCGGGAGCAAUAAUGGUCGCGUGUGGCCCGACGAGAGUACCGUACGAAUAAGCAUCGGCUCACGCCGUGUCAGCAGCCGCGGUACUACUGUGGAUGCAAUCGUUAUCCGGAUUUAUUUGGUUUGAAGGGACCGUAGGCUGGUAGGUAAGUCAGCGUGGAAAUGCCCCCGCUCAACGGGGUGAAGUGCCACUGAUACUGCCUGGCUGGAAUGCGGAUGCCGUGAGAGGAAUGUGGGGUGUAGCGGUGAAAUGCAUAGAUAUCACACAGAACACCGAUGGCGAAGGCAGUUUACGAAUCCGCGAUUGACGCUGAGGCACGAAAGCGUGGGUAGCAAACAGGAUUAGAUACCCGUGUAGUC